rnacentral:tRNA from 5 species
UUAGCGGUUCAAAAUUCGUUAUAUUUCUCAUCCACCUUACUUUACUUUUUUACAAAUAGAUCUGAGCGGAAAUGUUUUUCUCUUAUCACAAGUCUUGU